AAAAAAGUGGGUUAAUUGCGUACCGGUGCCCGCAAACAUGUUGAAUUAUAGAUAUAUUUCUAUAAAGUUCAACUUUCAUAAAUUAUCUCUAUAAAAGUCUUAAUAUAUUCAGAUAUGCCACUUUGAUUAGCACUCGUUAGAGAAUUAUUUAUUUUUUAAUAGUGGAUUCGUGAAAUAAUAUUUUUAUCCUCAUAAAUAUGUCUCUUUCCCCUUUCUCUUUCUUUUUCAAGCUGCCGGAGCGGGCGGCGGCAGCGAUGUUGCGAAGCCUGUCAGAGUCGUGGGCGACGAGGAUGAGGCUUAGGCCCGCAGCGACGAGGCGGAGGGCGAAGGUGCGGCCUAUUCGAAAAAAGAUGAGGAAAAGGAAAAAAAAAAAAGAGGAGAAAAGGAGGAGGAAAAGGAGGAUACGAAGAAGAAGAGAAAGAGGAAGAAGGAUAAAAUUGUCUAUUUUUCUUAUUAAUUAAUCAUGAUUAAGUAUUUUAACUGUGGUUAACUAAAUUUUUUUAACGGAUCCUAACGGCAGAAACAUAUCUGAAUACAAUUGGACUUUUGUAGAGAUAACUUAUAAAAGUUGAACUUUGCAGAAAUAUAUAUCUACAAUUUAUCAUGUUUGCGAAAAUCUAUAUGUAAUUAACCCUAAAAAAAUUUAUUAUUAUUGUGUGGACGUGGUGCAUCACGUCAUACGUAGACCACCAUUCGUGAAAUUAUUAGAUAAUAAAUUAGGCUUAAUUACAAAAUACGUCCCUCGGUUAACUCCAUGGAUAAAACUUUGAGUGGGGAUCAUAGUUAAUUAAUUCGGAUUCGACAAAAAUUCAGUACAAUUAUAAUUCAAAUAAAAUUUAUAUCUUAAUUUUUAAAUUCAUUGAAAAAUAUAGCUUAAAAAAUGGAUUCGCUAACUAUUUGGAUACCGAUUUAUACGGAUAUUAUACGUUCACCAAUUAACAAUCGUUCACCGAUUAACAAUCCGGGAUCAAAAAUUUGGCUAUUAAAUUAAGCUUUUUUCUCUACAUUUAUGCUACUAGCAUAUAUAGUUAUAAAUUCUUAAAAAUAUAAAAAAAGGGAGCUACAAAAAAAUGUAGAUUAAGCAAAAAAGGUAAUAGCUAAUUUUAUUGUCGUCUCUAUCUUUAUUUUCUUUAUGAUCCACAUAUUUCGAAAGUUUAUGAAGUUUUUUAAUAAUUCGUGAAUAAUUCGGCAAUAAUUCAGAAAGUAAUUUUGUUCAAAAAAUUUGCACAUUUUUUGGUCGAAUAGUUUGGCAUUCGUUUAUUAUUCGUGAAUAAUAAAUCUAACCCAAAAAUUCGCAUACUAUUCUGAUUUUAGGAAUAAAUCGUAUAAGGACAGUUUUAUUCGAAUUUUCAAUAAUUCGCGAAUUAACUAACUAUGGUGGGGAAUUCAUUUUGAUCCAUGGAUAAAAUUGGAGUGAAGAUAGUGAUGUUAAUGGAUUCGGAUUAGUGAACCUCCCAUUUCGCUCCGUUUCGAAUGAGAUGGUAAUUAAGAGCAAAAAAUAUGGAAUAAUAUAAUCUAUUCUGAAUCCGCUUUCAUCUGCCGGAGUUGAAUGACCUUUUUCUUUUUUUGAUCAGCUUAGAUCCACCAAAAGUCCAUUAAAAACUCACUCUCACUCUGAUCCACUUCGAAUGAAGCGGUAAGUGAGGGCUAAAAAUAUGAUUAAAGUUAAUUCGCUUCGAAUCCGCUCUGACCUUACAAGAAACAAAACUGGAAUUGGGAGACCUCUUCCGCCCCCAAAUCCGCCCCAUUUGUGUCCCUAAGUGGGGAGCUUUCCUACAAUGUUUUAUUGAGAAGUCUUUAUUCCGGUCUCAUCCCAUGUGUUAAUUUUGUCACCAUCCAAUAGUUCGUUGGAUAUUUUUUUUAAUGUUUAAAGUUUAAGUUUUAAAUUUUAGAGGAAGGAAUUAUAACUCUUGGAUAGAAAUAAAAGUAUCACGUAAUGACGGAUUGAGGCUUUUCAACGAGAUAUUGUUGGAGCUCUCCACUCAAGUUUUUUUUUCUUCUAUAUCUCAACUAUCCUUAUACACAUAAAAGAAUGACUAAAUUAUAAAAUGUCUUCUUGCACUUUAGACUCAAUCUCAACCAUCCUUCUUAUUAAAAAUUGUAUUAUCAUUUUACAUUUUGUCACCAUCUCAAAUAGAUUCAAAAAAAUUUCAAAAAAAUUUAGAAAUUAACAAAUUAGACAAUAAAUCAUCAUUAAAACUAGUUGAUAUUGACGGAUCACAUUAUUUCAUAUCUCAAUAUAUAUCUAAUUUGCAACUCAAAAAAUAUAUAAAUGGUAUCCUUUAUUUUGCUAUUAUUAUCUUAGUUGAUGAGUGAGGCGGGUAUGCUUCUGAAAACACGGAAAUCUUUUUCUAUGCUUUCAAGUCGUUUUUGAUAUUGAGACUUUCGAAUCGACGAUCGGCUCCAUUAGACUUGAUCUAGAGUAUUUGAAGUAUUUAGAAAAUAAAUUUUAUGAUUUUUCGUUAUAAUUUGUCUAAUGAUCGAAUGGGUUCAAAAUCAAUAAUUUUAAUAGCCGUAAUGAGCCGUUUGCAAGUUUAACGAUAUAGAAAUAUCUAAAUCAUGUGAAAUUUUGAUAGAAAAUUUUUUAUAUUAUAUAAAACAAGAUCAAUAUCUUUGAUCUGAAAUUUUAAUGUCAUAUCAUCACAUUUUGUAAAAUUUUUAUUUUUAGCCAUUGAUUUUGAUUUCCUUUGAUCACAAGGCAAAUGAUAUCGAAAAAUCACAAAAUUUAUUUUCUAGAUGCUUCAAAUACUCUAGAUCAAGUCUAAUGGAGCCGAUUGUCGAUUCGAAAGUCUCAAUAUCGAAAAUGACUUAAAAACACGGAGGGCUCUGUCCUUUCGGAAGCAUAUCAGCCUCACUCUGAUAGCUUAUUGAGCAAUCUAUUUCGUAUAUAUCAUUCUAUUACAUUAUUUAUAGGUAACUUUGUCUUUAUAUUUAUUUUUACAAAAUUUUAUUGCUAAAGUCUAUCCCAAAUAACUAGCCUAUUUGAGAGUACAAAAUAUAGUAAGAUAUUUAAUGCAAUAUUUUCUCUUAUGCAUAGGGUAAUUAAUACAAGGGGUAAAGUGCAGGGAGUUUUCUAUAUUUGAGCCAAAAAAAAUUGAAGCAAUGAAGAUAUAUCAUGUACGUUGGGGGGAAAAAAAUUUGAAUUACACUUUACUAUAUUUUACUUUUGUAUUAUUUUUAUUUGCUAUAUUAGAGUCCGGCUACUAUGCUAUCGGUAGCACGGAGCGCUCCGUGCUACCAAGUUGUUUUCGAUGAUGCGGCUUCCAAAUCGACGAUCAGCUCCGUUAAACUUGAUCUACAUUUGAAAGUAUUUGAAAACUAAAUUUCAGAUUUUUUCGAUAUCAUUUGACUAGUGAUCAAAAGAUCUCAAAAUUGACAAUUUUAAUGGUCGAUGUGGUGUGUUUGUGAGUUUAACGGUGUAAAACAAUCCAAAUGCGAUGAAAAUUUUAUAGAAAAUUCUUUUCACUAUUUAGAGUAAGAUCAGUAUAUUUGAUCUUGAAUUUAAAUCUUUUAUCAUCAUUUUUUAUGAGAUUUUUAUUUUCAGCCGUUCAAUUUUAGACUACUUGUUUGAUAGGUAAAUGAUAUCGAAAAAUUAUGAAAUUUAGUUUCUAAAUACUUUCAAUAGUGUAGAUCAAGUCUAACGGAGCCGAUCGUCGAUUUGGAAGCCGCAUCAUCGAAAACAACUUGGUAGCACGGAGCGCUCCGUGCUACCGAUAGAAUAGUAGUCUAGCAUCUAUAUUAUAUUUUUUAGUCAAAAAUAUUAUCAUAUUAUUAUAUUUUAUCCAUCUCUACACAGUAUUUUAAAUUUAUUUUUAUUUUUCUAUAUUGUACUGUUUUUUUUCUCAUACAUAUUACUAA
rnacentral:lncRNA from 1 species